rnacentral:rRNA from 1 species
UACAGAGGCCCCCGAGCGUUAGGCGGAAUCACUGGGCUUAAAGCGUGUGUAGGUGGAUGCCUAAGUACCUUGUGAAAUCCCACGGCUUAACCGUGGAAUUGCUGGGUAUACUGGGUGUCUUGAGCCACUCAGGGGCUACCGGAACAAAUGGUGGAGCGGUGAAAUGCGUAGAUAUCAUUUGGAACGCCAAUGGUGAAAACAGGUAGCUGGGGGGUGUGCUGACACUGAGACACGAAAGCCAGGGGAGCAAACGGG